CUCAGUUAAGAUAAAGUGACACUGUGUAGUCACAUGUGCCAUUUGAAAUACUUAAUACUAUUACUGACCCCAAAGAAAAUAUAAAUGCAAGCCAAGUCACAUCUCUGCAGAAUCACAAGCAUACCGGCCAAGAUCUCUUUUCUUUUAGAACAUUUCCCCAGGAAACAUAAAGUAGUUCAUAUAAAUAUGCUGACAUCUUUCAACAGCUGGAAGGACUCAUUCUGGGUGUUAACACAGCAGGGAACUGGAAGAAUCAGAACUGGAAGAAGAAGAAGUGAUUGGCAUGCUGACACGCUGCUGUAAGAAUUGCAGUGGGGAACAAUUACAUUGCUCAAAGAACACUUCACAAUUGGAGGGAAGAGAAUUAUGUCAGUGCUGAAGGAUUUCACAGCUGUACUCCAAAACAAACCUGGAAAUGUACAUUAUAGGUACUGGAAGCAAAAGAGUCUAUUAUUUUGUCUUCUUUUAGUUCCUCGAGGUGGUCCUGAUGGAAGCUGGAGAACCACUGUUAUACUGACUGUCAAUGAUGACGAUAAAGUUCCUGUCGUCAGCCUACUGAAGGAAGGGUCUUGGAAAGCAUUCAGGUCAUCAGCUGCUAUGCUAUGAACAUGCUCAGGCAACUCACAGAGAGGCCCUUGUCAUGGGAAACUGAGGCUGCCAGAAAGAAACCACCCAAGUGAGUUUGGCAGCAGAUUCUUCAGUCUCAGUCAAGCGUUGAGAUGACUGCAGCCUUGACAGACAGCACAACUGCAGCCUCGAGAGAAAGCCUGAGCCAGAGGCACCCAGCUAAGCUGUGCCCAGAUUUCUUAACUACAGAACUGGUGAUUAAUAAAUGUUUGCUGUUUUAAACCAC
rnacentral:lncRNA from 1 species